CAACACAUGGUUGAUGUACUUUGCAGGGACUGGCCCAUGGAUCCGAGCCACCUCUUUGCCACUUCAGAACUAAGAUUUGUCCCUCCGGUACAGCUUGUCGCAUCUUCAGCGAUUUAACAACAGGUGGCAUGUCGACCAAGUGCUUAAAGCCUGGCUACUGUCCCGACCCUCUGUGGGAGGAGCAGGUAGGGGGAGGCAGGGCUCAGUGUCAGAGGUUGUGUGAGGAGGACACGGAGUGUCCAGGACGACAGAGAUGCUGUACCGACCUGUACGGUUGUGGCAGACAAUGUCAAGACCCUCUUCCUGAGGACACCUGUGAUACCAAGGUGUGUACACUCUCUCUUU